CUCCCAGAGCCCUUGGCUCUCUUGGGCCAGUGGCCCCUCUUCUGUGGCAGCCUCCCUCUAGUUGCCCCUAUGAGAGGACCUCUUUUCCUGGCUGGACCCCUGCCUGCUCCCUCCAGUUCACCAGCCCCUAAUCAGGGUGCAAUGCCUCUCAAGGUCCUGGCCUUUUCUCCACUGUUGGGCCCUGCUCUUCCCAGCAUUGGACGGAACAUUGAUGGAUUACUCCCCUGACCCUACGGCCUUUCCCUCGCACUCUCUUUCUCUCUCCUGCUUCCACCUGCUCUGGCCCCAUGCAUCCUGCACCUGUCCUCAGGGCUGCCUCCUCCAACACCUCCUCCCUGCUUCUCUUGUCAAAGGACCUUCUGGCUUGGUCUGAACUGUCAGGUUCAAUUUCUCGAGCUAAACCUUUGAAUCUGGCUGACCCACUCUUGAAUGGUCUUUGUUCCCCAGCUAAGAACCAGCUGAUCUCAGCCCCGGCCAAAAUUUGCCUCAGGGGACUUGCCUGCCUCUAAAUCAUAGCUUCUCUACUCAGUCCCAGACCUCUCCUCCAACUCCAUCUCUCCUCCCUCCUUCUAACCCACAUUUAUGAGGUACCUGCUCUGUGAGUGCUGGGCGGAUACAGACAUGGUGGAACUGGGCCCUGCUCUCCAAAUGCUGACAGCCUCCCAGUAAGAUACUCGUGCAGAACAAGGCAGCAUAGAAUAUAUUCUCUCUCUCUCUUUUUCUUUGUUUUGCCAGAGGUAAAGGAAAGUUCUGUGAGAGAAGGGAAGGAGGGGUGAAGACCAGUUCUGUGUUCUCCAGCUUCCAGUCACAUCUCAUUGGUAAGCCACCUCCUCUCUCCCUUUCCCAGGGGGCAAAGCAUCAUGGGAGUAUCCUGGAUGAAAGCCAGGCUUCCAUGAGGUUUCUCAGCCUCACAACUGUAGACACUUGGGGCUGUAUAACUCUUUGUUGUGGGGCUGUGCCGUGCAAUAGAGGAUGCUCAGCAGCACAUCUGGCCUCCACGACUAAAUUACUCGAAGGGUGAUGACAAAAAAUUGUCUUCAGACAUUGCCAAAUGUCCUUGGGGAGUAAAAUCACCCCUGUUUGAGAAUCACUGGGCUCCACAGUGGCCCCACGUUCCACUCACUCUCCUGGUACCACGAUGUUCAACUUUCAAGACUCCAGCAAGGAUGGAGAAGAGUGAGCCUGUCCUUAGAGGGAACUUCAAAGGCCUGGGUCUAGUUCUGGUCUAUUCUGGGAGGGCCCAUUUUCUUGUUACUUUUGCUUGUGUACAUAUACAUUGCUUUGAAUGUGUGCAACAUUUAAUGACAGCAUCACAUACAUUGUCUGCACAGCAUUUAUUCCCCAUCAAAAUUCAUUUCUCCCGAGGCAGGCGGAUCACUUGAGCCCAGGAGUUCAAGACCAGCCUGGCCAUCAUGGUGAAACUCCGUCUCUACUAAAAAUACAAAAAUUAGUUGGGUGUGGUUGCACUUGCCUAUAAUCCCAGCUACUCAGGAGGCUGGGGCACGAGAAUCGCUUGAACCCAGGAGGCGGAGGUUGCAGUGAGCUGAGAUCAUGCCACUGCACUCCAGCCUUGGUGACAGAGUGAGACUCCAUCUCAAAAAAAAAAAAAAAUCAAUUUCUCCUCAAUUUUGUCAUUGUGUGUGUUUGGCAGGGGGCAGUGGCGAGUGAAUCUCAUUGGCCAAUUAUUCUCCCAUCUUCCUCAUAAGGGAAUAUUUAGGAAUGGGUAUGUGACCCAAUUCUGGCUCAUGAGGUAAGAGAAGUGUGAAGGUUUCCAGGAGAGGGUUUUUCACUGGUAGGAGCUGCAGAACAUCCCACUCUUCUUCCUUGUGACACCUGCUAUGUGUCAUGUGAACCUGGACUGCAGUCACCUGGCUCCCAGGAGGCACACGAAGCCAGCACUCAAGAUGGCAGAGUUGGCUGGUGACAUGGCUGAACCCCUGAAUAGGCUGACCCUGCAGUUCGCACUCUCUCUGGCUUUCCGCGUAGGUGAUAGAAUACAUUCUGCAUUGCUUAGGCCAAUUUGAGUUGGGGUUUGUCUCCCUAGGGGCAGGAAUAGCUUGCCAUGGCAUGGCUCCGUGGUGAUGGUAGAUGGCAGGUGGAGAGAAGUUGGACUGUGGUUUUCCUCCUAUGGACUGGGUCUCAUACUUUCCUCUUCAUGCUUUCCCUCUCUCACAUUGGGUGAACUGUGAAGCCUGUUGACUAGGGGGAAGCCACACAGCCUCAGCUGCCUCCCUGGCCCUGGCCUCCUUAAAAUUUCUGUUUGAGAUGCAAAUUUUUUGGUCAAAUGUGAAUAAAUCCCUUAUUUCCCUUCCCUAUGUCUAAUUUGGGAUCAGGAUAAGAGACAAGAAUAAAGCAUUUCUGGAUUAAAAAAAAAAGGAUGGCUCUACAUUGAAAUCCAAAUGACAUAACAGCCUUCAAACUGGCAUUUGCAAUUGGGCUGAGUUAACCUAAUUCAAUAUCAAAGGAACAGGGAAGUUUUUAAUUAUCUCAUUCUCAUAAUGGGAGAAGAAACUGGUUCCAUGGGAGGUAAACACCCUAAGCCACAAGGUUUUCAUGUAAAUUACAAUGCUCAACUUGAGCUGACAAGGAGAGGGGAUGUUUCUUCCUGUUUGAUAGCCUUCCCUGAUGUGUGGCCUUUUACUAUAGUCAUAAAAAGACAGUAAAUUAAGAAGGCACUGUAAAAUAUCAUCGGAACCGGCCCAAGGAGCCAAAUUUCCAGCCAAAGCCUUGAAAACGAGGGAGACGAUAAACAGUACAGAGUCAGUCUUUGGGGCAGAGGCCCCAAGCCAGGGAGAAAGCUGACGUCUUUUCCAAAGGUGCAGAGUUGAGAGCCUGGAGCCGCACACAAAGCAGGAUAAAGAGGAGUGGGCAUAGAAUUGGGAAAAGAGGGCCUCCCGAUCCUAGAAAGUGGUUCUCCUGGGUGGGGAGCUGCUGAGGCUUGGCACAGGGUGGAAUCUGGUCUGGCUUGGGAGGUGAUAUAGGCUGAGAUGCCAUCUCUCCACUGACCACUCAGCUAACACCUUCUUGAGUUACAGGCACUAGAGAUAUGGAGAUGGAAGAAGAGAGAGUCAGUGUCCUCAGGGUCGAGGUGAAGAAGACAGAUGAUGUGCCAGUGUGAUGUGAUCAAGGCCAGCCAAAAUGACAACAUGGGAUGAAGGUAUGAUGAUGGCCCCCAAGGAACCUGCCCAGGCUGCUGUGGGAGCACCACAUCUUAGAAGCAGACUCAAGUCCAUCUGGGAAGAAUUGCCUCGAGCCAUUUCAGGCAGAGGGUUGUCUAUACUUUCAAAGUUUUCGAAGGAGUGGAUGAACCCUGAAGUCCUCCUCCGGUCUCAGCUGGUUCUCUGCUGCUACACUUUUGUGCUCUGUCAUCUCUUCCCCCGCUGAGCUGGAGAGAGAAUGUGGCAGCAGAGCCCUCCUGAUAUUUAAAGACAGGACUGAGAGACUCCUCAGCCACGACCAUGUGUGUCAGUCAUCUUGAUUCUGGGACACUGCACAGCCACAGCAGCCGCUUGGCUGGAAGUGAAGGUCAAGGCCACCAGGCAUCCCGUGGCCGAACCUGGCUCCUUCUCUUGGCUCCCAGCAGUCUCAUUUCCCCCGCGGGAAGGGCUAUUUAUAGAACAGAAAGAGCAGUUGCAGCCACACUUUACCCCACGAGCUCAACCCUCUGUGCCUUAGAGGGAAAACUUCCCUGCGGGUGACACCUGUGCACUGGCAAGACUUACUUGGGAGACAGAUUUAUAAUAAACAGCCUUAUUUUAUAGAGCCCCAAAUAUUUGCACAAAAAUGAGCCCUUGGUAUAACUUGCUCCAUUUAUCUCCCUGCUGUCAUAGGGUAUAUCUCUCUGUUUUAUUACUUUAUUUGCCAGUUCCUCCAGCUUCUGCGCUCACCCCUCCUCUUCAUUUCCACUGCAGUUGUCACUCUGGUGGGGGGGCCCCGUCUCUCCUCCCUGUCACGCUUCUCCCUCUGCCUGCUAGUGUUCCAUUCCCUCCAGCUCACACAGGGGACUUGGCCUCCCUAGGGUCCCCCUCCAUUCCCCCUCAGGAUUCUAGGGAGCAGCAGGAAUGUGUCCCUGGGGAAGGACCCUCUUCCAAAUGCCCCCCAGUCACCCCCGAGGCCCGGCUUCCUUUUCAGCACUCUGGACAGCGCUCCUGGAGGCUGUUGCUUUAAGAGACUUGGCCUUCGCCUUGCAGUCCUGGGCUGACCGGUUCGGAGGCAUUUAGGAUGCCUCCCUGCCUCAUCUCUUAGCAUUUCUAACAGUAUAAGGUAAACCCUGAGUGGUUUCUUAACCUCCACGACUACCCAAGACGUGGGCUCAAGAACAGAGUGAGCAGCGUAUGAAAAAAAGAAGUGAUUUUAAUUUCAAAGUUCUGCUGACAUUCAUCAAGUGCUCUCAAGGUUUACAUAAACAGAACGCCCUGCUUGAAAUAUCACUUUGAAUUCCGUUUGUGCAAUGGCACCUCUAAUAGGCUGCUGUUUUGGUUUCUCUCAGCAAUGUGAGCCUUUGUGUUUUAAUAUUCAGAGGCACAAGGAACAGGAAAAUUAUAGCUGGGGAAGCCCAGGCUGGGUUCUUCAUCAUCCAAGUUAAAUUUGGCUGAAUGGAGGAAAAACAUCCUUUUAAAAGGGUGGUAAAUGGGAAUAAUAAUCUCUUACAUUUACAAAACACUGAGUAUUUUCAAAGCUCUCUCAUAUUCAUUAUCUUGUUAGGUUUUCACAGAAAUCCUGUAUAAAACAUUCCACAAAGAGCUAUUGUAGGUGCUGGAUGUGAAUGGCAGGCCUGAGGAGGCCUUCUCAGCAAAUGGAGAAACUGAGGCUGGGGGAGGGUGAGUGACUGGCUUAAGGUCACUCCAUGGUGGCCAAGCCAGGGAGAGCUGGCCAAAGCCAGGAGGUGGCCAUGCCAGCCAUCCGUCUUGCAGGCUGCCUCCUCCCUGGUACCUCCCCCAUGGCCCCAAAGUGACCUUUGUCUCUUCUCUCAUGGAACACACAUCCUCCAAACGAAGUGGCCACAAAACCCCCUCACCUGGACUUCUACCCUUGUAGGAGAAUUAAAGCCCAAAGCAAAAAGAGAGAAUCUGUACAAGUGGCAACAGUCUUCAUCUGCUGAGCAUUGGCUUUGCAUCAAGAAGCGUGCUGUACCCUUGACAUGCACUAUUUCAUUUGACCCUCUUAACAGCUCCGGGAAUGCUUUUAGUCCCAUUUUAUGGCCAAGAAAACUGAUGUUCAGAAGAUUCGAGCUAAUCAGUGUCACAGCUGCAGCCACACUCAAGCAGCCUGCUCCAAAGCCCGAGCUGCCUGUCACUAUGCCAUAUAUAUACUUCCUGUUUGUCUCCAAGGACAGUUUUUAGCAUCAGUUGGAGGGAGGGACUGGUGGGGUAUGAGGCCUGCAUUGCCCUUCUUGCCAGCGGCUAGGUUCUUUGCCUCCUGUAGGCUGCUGCUAGGAUGGGGACCACAGCACUGUGGGUUCUGACAUCGCAGGUCCUAAGGCUGCCCCUCUGCCUGGCACUGACCUUGCCCUUUAAGAUGGAAGUCACCAGACUGCAACUGAUGCAUGGCCAGGGCAUUCGUGCAACAUUCCAAUCACUUCAGCAAACACGUCGUAUGGAUGAAUACACACAUGAACGAAUGAGUGAAUGAAUGAAGGAAGGGAAGAGAAAAAGGGUCUCUUUGUAGGUGUGUGGAGUGGGGCUCUGCAGCAGGAAGAAGCAGCGGUUGGGAAAUGUAACACCUGCUGUGGCUCAAAGCCCUGGUUCUGAACAGGAGACCCCUGUACCCUCCCCCCAGCAGUAUCUGAUGGGCAAGGGCCCUGAUGGAGGUUAAGUGGAUGCAGAUGGAGCCAGGGCUUUCAG
rnacentral:lncRNA from 1 species